ACGAGGCUAAGAUCUUUGGCAAUAAAUACAUUCCGAAGACCUGCAUCAGUGCCCUGCUUGCAGAGUGUGGCAGAGAAGCUAAGCAUCUCAAACUCGGCAUUACAGACCUGAGAAGGCUGUAAGACUCUCUGGUCCAUCAUCACACGGGAGGAAUAUAAAUCCUCAGAGCUGUGCUGGGCAGCAUGUUAGCUGCUAGCCACACAUGGCUGCUGGACACUUGAAAUGUUGCUAGUCUGAAUUGUGCUGUGCUGUAAAUGCAAUUCACACCAGAUUUCAAAGAGGCCCUGUAGGUAUAAUUAUCCCUUUGGGGCACAAGAGGGAACUGGAGCACAGAGAGAUUAAGUAACUUGCCCAAAGCCACUCAGCUAGUGAGUAGCAAUGCUGGGAUUUAAACGAGGGUAAGCUGACUCCAGAGGCAUCAUUCUUAACUGCUGUGCAACACUCUCUGCUAAGAGCUAACAUAGGAUUGAAAUUUUAGUAGGUGGGAGAUUUUUCUUAAUCCUCACAGCAACUUGGAUGUAGUAUUACCCUGUUUUCACAGGUGCAGAAACUGAGUUUCAAGUAGAUCCAGCAACUUGCCCAAGUCGUAAAACCAGAAAGAGUGGAGCCGAGAAUCAAAGCUUGGAUGCCUGACCAGAGUGGACCUUUGAAACACUCCUCUGUAUAUUGUCUUCAGGCUGCCUGUAUUUACAAACUCUGAUAUUGACCUCAUUACUUCUCCCCGUUCUGCAGGCAGAAGACUGCUAUGAGAGCACUUAGGACCCAAGCGACAUCAGCCUUGGAACAGGCAAAUAAAAAUGGAAAGCUAAUCUUGGUGGCCUUCUCUUCUUCAAAAGGAC
rnacentral:lncRNA from 10 species